rnacentral:lncRNA from 1 species
CGGUUCCCAGAUUGCUUGUUCGCUAUAGCUGCCAGAAUUGUUUCACCGCUCUUACGAAGCAGAGGAGCGGAGAAUCUGGAAAGCCGAACAAUCACAUCUAAUGAGAUUUUUUAAAAAAAAAAAAAAAGACUUUCCACACACUUUCCUUUCCACACAUCUAAUCUCCAAAAUAUUGAGGCAUUAAACGAUAACAGCCUCCAUUACUACAGGAAGUAGAACACAAACUUGUUCCAGAGAGAACUCAAAAUCUCAAACAACUAAGUUGGAGAGGGAGAGAGAGUUACAUGAGUUGCUGAAACCUCUAAUCAUGGAGAUUCAUCAUCCUUCUUCAUAUGGCCAUAAGAUCACCAAAUUGGCGCAUCAAAAUAAUAGAGCCAGCAAAGAGCCCUGCAGCACGGAGCAGUUUC